rnacentral:rRNA from 1 species
AGUGAACGCUGGCGGUAGGCCUAACACAUGCAAGUCGAACGGCAGCACAGUAAGAGCUUGCUCUUACGGGUGGCGAGUGGCGGACGGGUGAGGAAUACAUCGGAAUCUACUUUUUCGUGGGGGAUAACGUAGGGAAACUUACGCUAAUACCGCAUACGACCUACGGGUGAAAGCAGGGGAUCUUCGGACCUUGCGCGAUUGAAUGAGCCGAUGUCGGAUCAGCUAGUUGGCGGGGUAAAGGCCCACCAAGGCGACGAUCCGUAGCUGGUCUGAGAGGAUGAUCAGCCACACUGGAACUGAGACACGGUCCAGACUCCUACGGGAGGCAGCAGUGGGGAAUAUUGGACAAUGGGCGCAAGCCUGCUCCAGCCAUACCGCGUGGGUGAAGAAGGCCUUCGGGUUGUAAAGCCCUUUUGUUGGGAAAGAAAAGCAGCAGGUUAAUACCCCGCUGUUCUGACGGUACCCAAAGAAUAAGCACCGGCUAACUUCGUG